GACGAACGCUGGCGGCGUGCUUAACACAUGCAAGUCGAACGGAAAGGCCCUGCUUUUGUGGGGUGCUCGAGUGGCGAACGGGUGAGUAACACGUGAGUAACCUGCCCUUGACUUUGGGAUAACUUCAGGAAACUGGGGCUCAUACCGGAUAGGAGCUCCUGCUGCAUGGUGGGGGUUGGAAAGUUUCGGCGGUUGGGGAUGGACUCGCGGCUUAUCAGCUUGUUGGUGGGGUAGUGGCUUACCAAGGCUUUGACGGGUAGCCGGCCUGAGAGGGUGACCGGCCACAUUGGGACUGAGAUACGGCCCAGACGCCUACGGGAGGCAGCAGGGGGGAAUAUUGCACAAUGGGCGGAAGCCUGAUGCAGCAACGCCGGGUGCGGGAUGACGGCCUUCGGGUUGUAAACCGCUUUCGCCUGUGACGAAGCGUGAGUGACGGUAAUGGGUAAAGAAGCACCGGCUAACUACGUG
rnacentral:rRNA from 1 species